rnacentral:lncRNA from 1 species
CAACAACAUGAAGCCAUACCAAUUCUCUAAUCAAGCAUACCAACAAUUUAGUUACACCAAUUGACUACCAAACUGUUAUUCAAGUGCUUCAUAAGUCAUUUAACACAUUACCACCAUACAUGCAUUUCUAUAUAACCAUUACAAUUCCAAAGGUAAGCAUUCACAAAGUUCAGAUCAAAACUGCAUCCAAAACAAACCCAUAUAUUAACCCUAUGUACAUGCCACAUAAC